CAUGUCCUUUUGAUUAUAAUUUAAGGUCUAAUCUGCACAAUGAUUAUUAAAUUGCUGCAGUAUUUUGACUGUACAAAGGUAGCAUAAUAAUUAGUUUCUUGAUUAGGAACUGGAAUGAAUGAUUGGACGAGAAAAUUUCUGUCUCUUGUUAAAGAAUUUUUGAAUUUUAUUUUUAAGUUAAAAAGCUUAAAUAUGUAUGAAAGACGAGAAGACCCUAUAGAGUUUUAUAUUUAAUUAAUAAUUAAAUAUUAGUAAAUUUUUUAUGAUUAAUUAUUUUAUUGGGGUGAUUUAAAGAUAUAAUAAAUUCUUUAUUUUUUAAUUGACGAUUAUUAAUUUUUUUAUCUAAAUUUUUUAAAUUUAAAAUUAAUUACCUUAGGGAUAACAGCGUAAUAUUUCUUUAAAGUUCAUAUUAAAAGAAAAUUUUGCGACCUCGAUGUUGGAUUAAAAUAAAUUUUUGGUGCAGUAACUUAAGAAUUAGGUCUGUUCGACCUUUAAUAUUUUACAUGAUCUGAGUUUAAACCGGUGUAAGCCAGGUUGGAUUCUAUCUUUAGAUUUUUUAUAUAUUUUAGUACGAAAGGACCAAAUAUAUAUUAUAUAUUAAUUA
rnacentral:rRNA from 1 species